rnacentral:rRNA from 1 species
AGCAGCCGCGGUAAUUCCAGCUCCAAUAGCGUAUAUUAAAGUUGUUGCAGUUAAAAAGCUCGUAGUUGAAUUUCGGGAUCAAUAUAUCGGUCGUGCCUUGGUACGUACUGGUAUCAUUGGUUUCUCCUUUCUGACGAACCAUGAUGUCAUUAAUUUGGUGUUAUGGGAAGUUAGGACUGUUACUUUGAAAAAAUUAGAGUGUUUAAAGCAGGCUUUAGCUUGAAUACAUUAGCAUGGAAUAAUGAAAUAGGACGUUCGAACCUAUUUUGUUGGUUUCUAGGAUCAACGUAAUGAUUAAUAGGGAUAGUUGGGGGCAUUAGUAUUCAAUUGUCAGAGGUGAAAUUCUUGGAUUUAUUGAAGACUAACUACUGCGAAAGCAAUUUGCCAAGGAUGUUUUCAUUAAUCAAGAACGAAGUUAGGGAUCGAAGACGAUCAGAUACCGUCGUAGUCUUAACCAUAAACUAUGCCGACUAGGGAUCGGAUAGAUAGUUAAUUUUUAAUGUACUUCAUUCGACGCCGU